rnacentral:rRNA from 1 species
CUACGGGUCGCUGCAGUGGGGAAUAUUGCACAAUGGGCGCAAGCCUGAUGCAGCAACGCCGCGUGAGGGACGAAGGCCUUCGGGUUGUAAACCUCUUUUAGCAGGGAAGAAGCGAAAGUGACGGUACCUGCAGAAAAAGCACCGGCUAACUACGUGCCAGCAGCCGCGGUAAUACGUAGGGUGCAAGCGUUGUCCGGAAUUAUUGGGCGUAAAGAGCUCGUAGGCGGUUUGUCACGUCUGCUGUGAAAUUUUGAGGCUCAACCUCGAACUUGCAGUGGGUACGGGCAGGCUAGAGUGCGGUAGGGGAGAUGGGAAUUCCUGGUGUAGCGGUGGAAUGCGCAGAUAUCAGGAGGAACACCAAUGGCGAAGGCACAUCUCUGGGCCGUAACUGACGCUGAGGAGCGAAAGCGUGGGGAGCAAACAGGAUUAGAUACCCUCGUAGUC